AAGUAUUAUUAUUUAGGAUCGUAAUUAAGAAAAUGACUGAUUGAAUGAACAUACAUUAUAAUUGAUUUGCAAUUACAUAAGGCGGGACUAGGACUACAUUCUCGAGAGACUGACUGAAGAAGUUAGUUAUACUCUGGAUAAAAAAAUGUCACUACAUCAAAUCUCAAGAACAUCCCGCGAACAAACAAAGAAUCUAAACAAAAACGAAGGAAGGUACGUACGUGUGAUGAGGUCCAGAAUAAUGCAACAAUCUAAAGGACGCAAAAUCUAACAGACCUAGCUAGCUAGCUAGCGACCCAACUGAUUCUGACACGGAAAUGGAAAACAGCCAAAAAGGAGUCACCCCCGCUCUCAUCAUUCAGCCUUCUUCUUAAUUAGCUUAUUAUUAAGUUGGAAAAGGUGAGUGAUGAAGAAGAAGCGUUAAUUUGUGGAUUAAUAUUUGGUGGGGUUUGAUGAUGAUGUGUGUUUGAGUUGAUGAUGAUCAAAACAGAGACAAGAAAAGACGGUCUUGAGAACCUUCUUGAGAACUUGGCCCCGUUUUGGGAUCCAGCGAGGGGCCAUGAAAGCAGAAGCACCACCAUGAUAUCGAUGAUGAGAACUAGUAGCAGUGGAGGUUGCUUCUUCGCAGCUGUGGUUGAGAGCAGCCAUAUGAAUAUAUGAAUAUAUUUGCUGCGCUGGCUGUGUGUGUUCGUUUUCAAUGGAAGGGGCAGGGAGAAGUG
rnacentral:lncRNA from 1 species